rnacentral:lncRNA from 1 species
CAAUCCAAUUGCUUAUAUUUAAUUCAAUCACUUAGUGAAUUAAAAUUUCAUUUUAAUUCACCUUUCUUCUUUGACGACUACAUUUAAUCAUCUAGAAGAACUCACAAGCUAUGAGUGACAUUUAACCAUAUGUCAUAGCUACCCAAGCUAAUGUAGAAGUUUAUUCGAAGAACCUAGUCAGUUGGAAUUACAAUAUAAUUCAAUCCUUCUCUAAUACAAUACUCUCAAUCACAUCAUUAGGGUAUGGAUAUAUCAUGUCAAACCCCUAAUGUGAUUAUUCCUUCUUAUAUGAUCCAAUUGAGUCGUAUAGGAACGCUUCCCUUUAUUACGCUCGAUACUUCGGCCGAAGAUUCCUGAAUCAUAUCUUAGAGUAUUCUUCCUCUUUUAUCGAGGAUUAGAGAUUCCUUGUUGCGCAUACACUUGCCUUCAUGACUAAGUGGCUUAACCCCAACUAUGCCAUUGACACUCUGAUAGAGUGACGUUGACAUAAUCAAAGAUUAAUUACUUAACCACAAGACAACGACGAUGCCUCAAGUCAAAGGAUUACUUACAUUAUUCCAACCAUUUGAGUUACUUGCUUGACAUGUGAGUAGACCUCCAUACAAGUACUCUGAGUCGAUUGUGUUCAGUGAACUCAUUCCCUUAAUGAGCACCUACAUACUUGUCUUAGUGUCACAACACGAAUGGGUUGAGACUUUCCAUCCUUCCAAUUGAAGCGGACACAGUAUGUACCGGUCUAAGCAUUGUCAGUAUCCCUCC